CUGAGAGCCUCUAGGGGCUACUCCAGUCCAAUAAAUAACAGUAAAUACAAUGCAAAAACAUUUUUGAGUCUGAUAAGGGCUGUGUUAAUUUCUGGUGUAAUAUCUUUGACUUCAGAGGAAUUACAUGGAAUGGACUUUGUCUCACUGAGCCUUGUUGUCUGCUCUCACAUUGCUGUGGAGGAUAAUGGAUGACAACAAAACAUCAGCUUUCCUGACUUCUGGAAUUAACCUCAAAUACAUAUUAGCAGCAGCCUUCAAGUAGUUUUUGCAUACACAGGCUUUCAGUAACAUGACCAAGCAGGGGUGUGCUCUGACACCGUCAAGAGGUGAGCUCCUUGGUGUUAGGUGUGCAGUGCUAACGAGAUGUCACAAGCAGCUGCUCAUCACUUGGCAAUCAUCUGCUGCUCAGGCAGCAGGUCUGUUGUCAUCCUAGGCAUGUGAGGGCCUGAAUCCCCAGCAUCUACAGGAGUGCAGGUCAUCUAAGAAGGGAAAACAGUGCUGCACCUUUAAUGUAGUUUUAAUACAUAUUCAAUGUCCCUUCAAUUACUGCCUGAGUAAUUAGUGUGGAUGCAAAUCAAAUGUGGAACAGAAUGAUUUUCUGGGCUUCCUCAGGGGACUGGACUUUGGAAGAAGUAGUACUGUGUUGUAUUUCAUGCAACUUUGUAAAGAGAGGAAAAGAGAGAGCUGAGAAUAGUAGGCAGUGGAAGCCUUCCAAACAUGCUAUAUUGCUAGCUGUGCACGUAGGAGAAUCUACAUUAGCACUGCAACCUUCAACUGCUGUGAUUUGCCAAUCACAGUUUUGGAAGUGAUACUUCCUUGCUCUUUGUGCCCUGAGGGAAGUCUCUGUGCAUUACCCUGCUGCCUGCUUGAGUGAAUCCUUUAUAGCAGAAUAAACCUGACCAUGAGAAGCAACGAAUAUUUUCAAGCCAAACACCCAUAAAGAGACUUGUGUUUGUAGCGAGAGUUUCACUCCAGAGAUCCCACGUUAUUCUUCUUAUACUUUUAUCCAGAAGCUACCCUAUUGAGACCAGGCUUUUUCAGAGUACCCUAGAGACCUUCUUGUGAUUGUCAAGCCACUCUCCUUCAUAUUUGAAAAGUUCUGGGGUCAGGUGAAGUUCCUGGUGACUGGAAAAAGGGAAACAUCACUCCCAUUUUUAAAAAGAUAGAAAGGAGACCUGGGGAACUACCAACCAGUGAGCCUCACCUCUGUGCCUGGCAAGAUCAUGGAGGAGCAGAUUCUCCUGGAAGCAAUGUCGAGGCACAUGCAAGACAAGAAGGUGAUCUGAGACAGCCAGCAUGGCUUCACCAAGGCAAAUAGUACCUGACCAAUCUGAUGGCCUUCUAUGUUAUAGUGGCUGCAUCAGUCAACAAAGGAGGCCCAACCAAUGUCAUCUACCUGGACUUCUGUAAAGCCUUGGAAAUGAUCCCACGUGACAUCCUUAUCUCUAAAUUGAAGAGAGAUGGAUCCAAAGGGUGGACUGUUUGUUGCAUAAGGAAUUGACUGCAUAGUUUCAGUCAGAGAUUUGCAGUCAAAGAUUUUAUGUCCACGUGGAGGCCAGUGUCCCUCAGGGAUCCAUUCUGAGACUAGUGUCCAUGUGGGCCCAUGUGAGCCUAAUGAGGUGGAAGAAGUCUAAGUGCAAGGUGCUGCACAUGAGCCAAGGCAAUCCCAUGAGUACAGAGUGGGAGAAGAGCUCAUUGAGAGCAGCCCUGUGGAGAAAGACUUGGGGAUUCUGGUGCACAAAAAAGCUCGAUAUGAGCCAGCAGUGUGCAAUUGCAGCCCUGAAGACCAACUGCAUCCUAGGCUGCAUCAACAGAGGUGUGGCCAGCAGGUCAAGGCAGGUGAUUGUCCCCUUCUGCUCUGCCCUUGUGAGGCCCCACUUGAAGUGCUACAUCCAGGUCUGGGGCCCCCAG